rnacentral:lncRNA from 1 species
UUUUUUUUUUGUAGGGCAAUGAGAAAUACUAAGUUGAUUGCAGAAAUCAUUGAUGCAAAGAGUUAUAUUAAAUACAAUCCUGUGCUUUGUUUAAAAAAGGAUAAAAAACUACUCUAAUUUGCAAUGUUAUCCCAUCACAGAAGGUGAUCAAAUAAUAUACUGUUAUGUAAUUUUAUAGUUUCAUAUCUAUUUAGCCUUUCGUCUGAUACUUGUCGAUCUUUUAGACUGCCUGGGUCAAGGCAAAGCUCUUUUUUGAACACAUCUUCCAGAAAUAUUGGUAUAUGAGCUGUGCGAAGUGAUACCGAGCUACUGCAGCGGACUAUGGAAUUGAGUUUACUUGUAAUUCAUGCAAAGAGAAGGGCCCUGCUAUGCCUAGGUCCUAUAUUACUAAAUCAUUAACUUUAAUUUAGCUGCUUACUUCCUCUUAAUGUUAAUGUUAUACAGUGUAUCGCCUAAGCAAUUGUAUACUUAUGUUUUAGGUGCCAUUUUGACGUUGAUUUGAGCAAUGACAGUGGAGUUAUACCUGCUUCUAUCUUUGGAGAUCUAGCAGAAAAUAUUCUCAACUUUACUGCGGUUGAAGCAAUGGAUCAUUUUAAUCAGGUUAUUUUAACUGCUCAAAUUUAAUAUUCAGUACGCUAUUUACUUGUCACCCUUAUAUCUUCUAUACUUCUUACAGAAUCUUGAACUGCCACUUGAGUUUGUUCAUGCUCAGCUUAAAACAAAGACAUUUCUGGUUCACAUUAAAUCAGUCCAAACACAGCUCGCUGAUGCUAGAUAGCAUUAUACGAUUUUAUAUUGCUCUGAACUUGAACUAGAAUUUGGUCGUGCUCAGUUGAUAGGUGAACCAGAAUCUGUCUUGCUUUCAACUGACCAGCAAACUGAAAAUGAGCAAUUGAUGAUGACAGGUUGAUAGAUAUACCCGGAGUUGUAAUACAUAACCUAUUUUCUUUGAAUGAACUGUUAACUUAACUACUCCUUGUGCUUACAGGAAAUGGUGGUUCUGGCCCAAAAAUGCAUCUUCGACUCAGUCAAAAGUUUGAUGAAGCAGAAACUGUCGACAGCAAUGACUUUGAAAGUUCAGAUGCCAACUCCAAAAAUAAAGCAAAAUUAGGCUGAAUUGCCCUCAUUUCCUUUUGGAUUGCUCAAACAUUAAUAUUUUUUGGGUUCCGUUAUCUGCACUUCUAUACUUAGGCAAAUUGUUUAUGGCUUUUGGAAAUACUACUCAUCUAUUCACAAUUUCCUCACUUUUGUAUGUGGUUAUCCGCUAAAUAGCUUUUGUCAUGAUCAUUGAACUUUGAUAAUAGCACCUGUAUCAAAGUUCUUGCCAGGCUUUCAAAGAUUAACCGAAUCCUCCAUCUUGGGUAGCAUGAGGAUUUUCACAGAUAUCUUUGAACCCCUGGCGAUGAACUCCUUUUUUACAGAACUAGCAACUUUAUAAUCUAUAUAACUUGGGAUUCAUUUCUGUUUCUUUAUAUUUUCUGCAAUACAAUUAUUAUUAUCACUUUCAAACCUCCAACUUUGUAUACACACUUAUUCAUUUAUUACAAAAGGCAGCAUUUUUUACAAAUAAAACUUAUAUAUUCAGGUCCUGCUUCUUAUAUGUCAGGCUACCUGCUACACUAAACAUGGCAAGUACAGGGUGAAUUAUGAUCUUGCCUUCAAGCCAUUAAAGCAUUACAAAUGCAUUACUUUACAUGCAGUUGGUUGGCAACUCGCAUUUAAUGUUUGACAUUGAAUUGUCUUCUAUUCAUUGUUCCUUACCUUCCUCUACUGCAACUAAUAAAUCUUUUCAAUUGUGGUAGGAAAAAGCUUGCACUUAGUAUUAAAAGCAAUGAAAAAUAUACUCUUUUUACAUUGAUCUUUUCUUUAUAUAUAUGCUCUUUACAGUUUAUAAAAUCAUCCAUAACAACUGCUAACCAUACAUUUGCACUAGCGCUUUUUCUGCAUAAGAACUUGUCAACAGGUGAGUUGCUCUAUAAUGUAUUUCUAAUCCUUAUCACAUGAUGUAACCUUGUACUCGCAUUUUCUAUUAAUAGACCACUUUUCUGAUUUUCCAAUUUUUCAACUUUCCUCCUGAUAGUUCAAUAGCAGAAACAAUCUUAACAUCUUUAACAAAUUUUCAACCGACAAAUAGCUGCUUAUCAGCUUGCUGUUUUCUACUCAAAUGCAUCCACAGAGGACAGGUUAACUUUUAGCUUGUUCACCCACAUUGCAGCAUUUAGAGUUGAAUACCAUGGUAUUCUUUGACGUUAUUUUCCUACUUCAUUUUUUCAAGGUAUUACCUGCUCAGUUUGAAUCGUUACUUCAUCAGCACCAUUGCAAUAGAAUUAUUCUGAGGUUUGGACUGCGGCAAUGGCCUAUCACAGUCACUAAUCAUACAUUUGGACAAGGAUGGGAUGCUUUUUGUAAACACAACAUUGUUAAAAGGCAUGACACGCUAUUACUUCAACAUAGCGGGUAUUUGAUAUUUGAUGUCAUUCACUUUUGUGAACAACAAAAACAAGUUUUUUUGCCUUGGACCAUUCCCCUACUAGACCUGUUGCACAUGAAUGUCAUUGCAUCAAAAGGUCAAAAUACCACUGUAUCUAUCUCAUAUCCUCAUCUAUAUCAUAUAUUAUUUUUAAUGUAACACAUAGUCACUAAUUACAGAUGAUAUCCAUAUGGCCACUGGACAACAGCAAGUUGCUUCCUCGCUGAGACCAAAUUUUUGUCAAGAUCUAUUUGAUUCGGUUUGCUUUUAUCAAAUCUUUAACUCGACAACUCCAAACAGUUUGGUAAGCUAUUCCAUGUUUACCUGCAUUCUCUUUGUCAUCUCAACUUUCUCGCAAGCAAUUUCCAUUUGUUUAUGCAUAUCUUCUAAUCUGCACCUCUUGAUGAUAGAAAAUUCCGCGCUUUAUUGAUCACUUCAUCAAUGGUAUCAAGACUCCCAUGUUACUUGUCAACACUGGACACAGAAGUACUCAAAUUGGUGUAAAGCAUAAAUGCCUUCACCAAAACUGGAGAGAUUUCGUUCUUCAACAUCAAUUGCAACACAACAAAACUCUUGUCUUUGUUCCGAAAUCUGAAAAUAUAUUUACAGUUUUGAUCUUCGAUGAUGCCGGAGUUGAAAAGAUUUUUCCUUGGUAUCACACAUUCAAUAUUUAUUUGGAUGCUUAAUGAAUUUAGUUGAACCAUGCAGUGUAAUUUACCUAUCGAUUGAAUACAUUAUUGGUAGUUUUCACUUCUUCUUAGCUAAACUAAGCAACCACUGGCCCACAAUCCUUAAUACAUUACUUCUUCUUUGAAUUAACUAAUUUUACAAAAUUAAUUAUUCAACUGGGUAUUACUGGGCAUCAUUACAUUCACCCACUGCGCAUCGCGCGGUGAUCCCCCCCUAGUAUGGUAGUAGCUUACUGUACAAUUCGUUUGUCGUUUGUUGUGUGUUACUGCCUCUGGAUCAUUGCACAACGAUUAAUUAAUUGCAACAUGCACCCCUAUUAGGCCCACCGUGUUUGUUUAAACCUAAAAAAUAACAGGUAAGCCCUGUAAAAUAAAAGAACUAUUUUAUUUCCUAAACAAAGAAAGAAAAAAAAGGAGGUCACACAUAAAUAAACACAUAAACAUAAACAAAUAUCUUUUGGUGUAAUCUCCCUACCUGGUAAUCCCACUAAUCUACAGCCAAGCAUUUUGGGUGACUCUCUUAACUUUUAUUUUCUCGAUUUCGUAGUUUCGAAUUGAAAUCAAAAUUCGUUAGUAAAUUUAUUUUUUUCGAAAUUGCACAUUCCUAGAUGAUAUGAUCCAUGUAUUUUCUUUUUUUUUUUAACAUAUUUUCCAAAAAAAUGAAUUACCGCUAACAUUUAUUUUUUCUCUAUUUUGGAAUGAGCUUUCACUUUAGAGAAAAAAGAAAAAGGAAAUUACAUUGAAAUCUAAGCCGAGUAGUGUCGAGUUUUUGGAUUGUUGGCAAAAAAAAUCUAAAAACAAGAUUGAAUUAAGUUAUAUUAGCAAUUUAAUUCAGAUUGAGAUGGUUUAAUUCACUCUCAUUUGUUUUCUCUGUCUGUUUUUCUAGGUUACUUUUUUCCCCUUCAAUUUUGUUUACAUGUUUCUUUCUCGUGCUUCUUGUUUAAACUUGUUUUUAGGAUUAUAUCUUUCAUAAGGUGACAAAUUUGAUUUCCAAAUGCAAAGCUCCUAGCAAGUUUAGACUUCGGGACACAAGUGACAUGCAUGUAAGCAAAGCUUCAAUUCUAAGGGAAAUUUUAGAUUAUAAGUUGUAUUCUCAACUCAAGUCCCUAAUAUUUUUUAAGAUUAAGGUCCUCUCUAGGAAAUUUUAGAUUAUGAGUUUGUAUCCUCAGGUCCCUAAUGUUUUUUAGACUUCGGGACACUAGCAAAAUUAUUUUCACUUUCCAUGAAUAAUUUUUUAACAUAUUUUUCAAUUAUUUUUUAUUUCACAUACAUCAAAAUCUAAAAAAUUAUUAUAGCAAUUUCUCAUGAAAAACUCUUCAAGCAGUGCUCUAAACAACCUCUACUUUUAAGAAAUAACUUACCCAGUGAAGAAAUGUUCGUGCGUAACUUUUCAAGAAUGACAUACUAAAAGAAAUACUGAGUGAAUCUAGACAUAUAGUUAUUUGAAACUCAAUUUUCUUGUAUCAUAAAUUUUUUUCAAUCCUUUUCUAUUCCUUUAAUCAACAUUUUUUUUGAAAAAAAAAUCUUUUGAUCAACAUUUGUUUUCACAUACAUCACAUCUGAUGAAAAUUCCCAAUUUGCCACAAUUUCAUUACCAUAAAUAUCAAAACUGAAGUUGUAAGCAAACAAUAAAUUAUGAAAAAUAAUUGUACAUUACUCUACAUUAAUAAUAAAAAAGAAAAUGAUACAUUUUUCUUUUAGGUGAAUAAAAAAUUUAGCAUCUGGAAAAUAAGAAUCUCCUUACAAAUCCCCAUUAAAAGUUGUUCCUUUUGACAAACAAUGCAUGCACCCCUUAGGACAGCCCAAAAUCAUUGUUUUGAAAACCGAACCGGACUGCAAACCGAUCAUAGGUCCGAUCCGAUUCAUAUCUCGAGUUGACUGGAUUUAAAAACCUAUAAGAACCAUUUGAACCAUAAAAUUUGUGCGAAUCAGAUUGAAUCAUUGAACCGGUGAUUUUUUUGCUUUUGUCUUUUAAAUUGAAAAAAUUAUAUGAAAAAAGAAUAGGUUUUCCUUAAACCUAAAGAUUAAUUAAAUGCCACGUUCAUUCACUUUCUUCUCAUUUUUUUUUUAUCUAUUAUCAAGUUUACAUAUCUAUUUUCUAUUUUUUGACUUCCUCUAAAUUCCAAACUUCAUUUUUAAAGUUGCAAUUUCUAAAUCCCAAAAACGUGAAUUAAAAAUUUAAACUUACAGUGUCUAAUUCCCAUGGACGUGAAUUUGGUAUAAUUUUAGAAUAUUUUGGUAUCUUUGGGUUGAAUUUAAGAUUAUUUUUUGAUAGAUACAAUUGAAACUGAGAUAAAAUUUAUUUGUUGCAACUUAUAAUUUAAAAUUUUUAUUUGUGAAAAUCCAAAUUCUUUGAAAAUAUUAAACUUUUCAUCAUAUAAAGUUUUAAAUUAGUUCAUUGCAUGUCUUAUUUUGAACAUAUAUAUUUAUAUAAAUUAUUUAAAAAAAAUAUUGAAUCAGUGUUAAAUCGGUCCGAUCGAUUGAAUCUCGAUCCGAGCACCACGCCGGUUUAAUUAACGGUUUGAGUUUCAAAACAUUGCCCAAAAUAAGUAGUGGCAAAGAAGGAUCAAAAUCCUCAGGCCUUUUUUUAUUUUAAAUGGACCCAUGAAAUGUAACCAAAUAUUUUGCAAAUUUCUUCAGGCUGACAAACUCUGGCCUGCAUGCUUAUUAUGCUCUUUCAUUUAAGAAUUCCCACAGGGAAACUACCGCCAGAGCUAAGCCGAAUGCGAAGUUUCAUUUUGGGUAACUCAUUUCUGCCCGCCUUUUUUUCUUUCGGAAUUCUGCUUCUUUACCAUUUCAUUCUAGUGGAAGCCAAGAAGGAAAGGUCUGAUCUUUGGUUAGUAUGGUCAUUAAAUAGGCCCCUCUCUCUCUCUCUCUCUCUCUCUCUCGGGUUUCUCUAUUUCUGCUCAUUUUUAAAAAAUUCUGCUUCUUCUACAUUUUUUUUGUAAAUGGAAUGUACCCGAUCCGAACCCUUUGAACUAAAGUCGACACACCGCACAACCUUUUUUCUGUGCGAGUCAAAGAAUGCUUCAGGGAAUAAUUUCGAUCCUAGGACCUUUUGUGUUCUAAAGAACCGUUACUAGGGGUGCAAUCGAAUUGAGUCGAGCUCGAAGGAUGCUCGAACUUGAGCGAGUAGUAUUAUUGGAGCUCGAUUCUUGCUCACAAAACUCUAGCUCGACUCGUAUGGAUUCGAGUCAAUGCGAACCUUAUCAAGAUCGAGUUAGAAAUUUUCAUUUUCUUGAUAAUUUUUGAGUGAAAAAACAUUGUUACCGUUUAAAAUUUUUUUAUAUGACUUAAAACAUUUCGUAAAUUCAACAACUCUUUUAAGCGUAAGGGUAAUUUUAUAAUAAUAAUAUAUUAAAGAAUUAAAAUUAAAAAGCUCGAUAAGACUCGACGAACUUUCGAACAUUGCUUUUGGAUACUCGAACUCGACUUGUUUAACUUAUCGAGGUGCUCGAACUGGACUCGAAUUCGAUUAACUCGAGUUUAAGUCAAAAUUUUGAUCAAGCUGCUCACGAGUGUACGUUCAAUUACAACUCGCGAGCAGCUCGAUUUGAUUACAGCCCUAAUCGCUGCUACCACUGGACCAACACUGUGAGGGUAAGGGAUGACAUACAAGGACUUCUCAGGGGUCACCCAUCCUAGAAUGAAAGGUCUAGGAAACAAAAAUGAAAGGUCUGAUCUUCAUUCGGUGGAAGCAAAAAUGAAAGGUCUGAUCUUUGGUCCCGAUGGCAAUACACAAAAGUUCUAAUCUUUGGCCCAAUUUUAUACAGAAAUUCUAAUCUCCGGUUCGGAUGGACAUUGAAUAGCCAGAAGGUCUUCUAAUCUUUGGCCCAACAUCAAAGAGUUGAGUCGGUGAACUUUUCAAUUUGGCAUGGCUCUACACAUUUGGGCCAACUGAACAAGUAACACCGGAGGCCAAAGAGUCCUUAAAAAAAAAAAAGAAGGAACAACUAGUGCAGACCGAAUUCGGUCCAGCAAUGACGAAGGAGUUCAAAUUACAAAGGGCCGUGGGCAAUGAUCAAAGGGAUCUUGUCAUUGUUCUACCUCACGCUUUUGAAGACCUUUCAUUCGCGGAAAUGAGGUUUUUAACCUGCCUGUGGGAUGCGAUUGAAAAUGGGUCCAACUUGUGUGUCCAGUUGCCGAACAACAGGCGCGUAUUUGAGUUGGCUGCAUGUUUUAGCUUGAGCUAUCAUGCAUUGUCCAGGCUCCAUGAGGUUGCCGACUGUAGAAUUAUAUUAGCUUUGUCUGACAAAGUUAAAGUUGGAGAUGUAGAGGAAAUCUGCGUUGAUGUUAAGAAGAGUAUCUGCUUGCAAUGCCCGAUUGGUAGGUUGGGUAGGAUGAAAAGAUUUUCCAUUCUUGCCUUAACAGAUGAUAUAAAGGGUUUUGUUAGGUUGAGACAGGGCUUCACCCCGAACAUGAUCCUGUGCCGAAGAGAUGAUAUGUUUCAGCAUAGGGUUUUUAACCUCUUAGGUGACCAGAGACUGGGAGAGUUCACUGUAUUUUUUGAGGAGGGCCAUGAUUUACAUGCACAGAUGAAUAGUUGGUCGGGCCUUCAUAUGGUUGAUACCGAUAUAGAGGAUAUCCGGGAAGCUUUGCCUGAAAUGCAGGAAGAGGGGUAAGAUAAAUCACUAUCUUAUUGGUAGUGUUAUUAUUUAGUUCUAAUUAGCGUUAUGUUCUGAUAAUUAGUCUGUUCAUGUUGUGAAGUUCGAGUUUUGAUAUGUACAAAUAAAGCCCAUCAUUUCUCAUCUGUAGGUUGCCUGGAGAAUGGGAGACUUUUAUCCCCCAUUUUUUGCCUUGGCGAGUGGACAAUGAGGUGGCAGGGAAAGAAAUUUUUAUAGCUUUCCUAGAUUUUCUUCUUAGCUUGUCGGAUAGGUAUAGUGGGGAACUGAAAUUGUUUCAUCAGUCUCGUUGCUCCAUGGAUAGGUUCGUAGAGCUUUACAAUGCUAGGUUGGCUACUAAUGGGCUGAUUCAGCCCGAUAAUCUCAAAUUGCUGUUAGGAUGGGUUGUGAAGUCAUGGAAGCAUCCGGAUAUUGAUUUUACAGUCUCACGUAGAGAUUUGUUUCAGUUGGCUAGAUUUAUCGGCACUGCAGCUUGUAACAUGAACAGUUUCUUAUUAUUUUUUGAUAAUUCUUGCGAUGAAUUUCAUUUUGAUCUAGUUGAGCCGGAUAUAUAUAUGGAUCGUAUCCGUGCUAGGAGUAGAUCCAUUGUUAUAGCUAGUGCCUCAGAAGAACUCGAAGUAUGCAGCCAUAUCUUGCUGGGAGGAAAUGCACGAAUUGAGUAUCUUUUGGACCAUUGGCAUUAUUCAGAUGAGGUGCCGUUUACUCCCAUGGUGCUCACGUGUUACCGGUAACACGAUCCCUCUGAAUUUACAACUUAAUAAAGCAUCUGUAUGCCUUGGCCCUAAUCUGAUUUUUUUGUAGGGGGCAAGCCUUGGAUGGUAGGAGGAUUAGAGAGGAGUUGUAUCAUCCCUUGGGCUAUCAAGGAUGCGAUCUUACAAUGGCUUACUAUGGAAAUUUGUUAAUAGAUAUGUCUGCAAUCAGCAUUUCGCAAGGGAUGCUAUGCCUGUUUCCUAGUCGUGAUGCCGUGAAGAGAUGCGUGGAUGUAUGGACUAAAAGUGGGGUACUUCAGGUUGUUCUAAGUUUCCUUUCUGUUUGUGCUUUUUCCUUCUUUUUUUUUUUCAUUUUCCUUACCUUCCUAAAAAUUCAGAAAGAAAGCCUCCAAAAUAUAAAAUGAGGGAACAAUGACUUAGGACACGAUGAGUUACAAAAAAGAUGAGCAUCACAAUGUGUUUUCUGCUGUGAUCUGCCUAGCCACUAAUUCAAGAGGCUAAUGAAAAAAAUUACCAGCAUAUCUGCUUGCUCAAAUUCCACUUAGUCAUGUCUUUAAGUCUAGACAAUGUCACCAAUUUAUGUACAGGCACGAUAACCCAUCUACAGGCAAGAGUUUAAGCUGUCAAGGUUAAUGAAACAAGAAUAAAAGAUCAAAGAAGGGGAUUGUGGUAGGUAGAACAGGACAGGGGAAAAGUUCAUUAAAUUUUAGCAAGGAGCAAUUUUGCAUGUUUGUGUAGUACAUUUAAUUGUGAGAGUGGAUACUGGUUGUGGUUAACACUGGCUAUUUCUGAGCAGAGAUGCUCAGGCCUUUAUACUUUCUGCUGUGGAUGGUUGAAAUAAAGUUUCUGUCUAUUUCUUUGUUGAUCUUCAGAUGCCUAAUAUAUCUGUACUUAAAGACUCUUCACACAAAUCACAGUUUGGGAUUUUUGAGUUGAGAUAUGGAAGAGUUGGGAGAAGAGUGUUCUCAUGCUUAUUUUCAAAUUUGGGGUGUGAAAGCCAAGAUAUUAUUUGGUGGUCUUUUAUAUGUCUGAAGUGAUUGGUACUCUUUCCUUUUUAAUAAAUCUAUGAUAUUGGCUGGUAACAGUACUUUAACUUGUCAGCAGGUUAGUCAAGUAUCUUGUAUGGCUAUCUUUAUGGCAGCAAACUACUGUCUACAUGGAACCACUAAUUUAUACUUUCUGGGAUGGAUUAGCAUUUCUGCUUAAGCACUAUCUGUUUAUACAUAGUCGUAGCCAUCCCACAGGUAUUUAUAUCAAAUAGUCAAGUUUCUUGUAGUGAUGAUGUUGCCAUUAACAUGCAGCACCAAGGUUUUUUAAGUAUUUCAGAUGCAAUAUAAAAUCCAUGUGGAAUGAAGAGGAGUAAGUUGUGAAGGCUUUUGUGUUAGGUCUUCAUGCUUACCUGUCCUUCUCCUCCAACCCUGCCUCCCCACACACCCCCACCCUCUCCCCACCAAAAAAAAAAAAAGAAAAAGAAAGAAGUGAGUUUCAUAUAAGCCAUAAUUAUGUCCCUUGUCCUCUUCAGUGUACAUCUGUAUUGUGAUCUGUAUUGUGGUGGCUGCAAAGCUGUCUAAUUCAUGCUUCCUCUCCAUCUAUUAAAUUUUCUUAAGUCUUAUGUACAUUUAGUGCUUGGGUUGUAUUUGACAUUUUAUUAACUUCUAAUUUGAACCUAGAAAAUCAUGUGCAAGAAGAAAGUGUACAUGCAAGAAACUAAAGCUAGACUCACUGAGAUUGACACAAAAGCAUAUCAACUGAAAUGCAAACAAGGUGAUGGAGGGCUAUUUUUGGCUGUUGUCAGGUAUUUUCCUAAUUAUUUUUGUUUACAAAUUUCUGCCACUCAUGAAUACUUGUAUACUUCUUUCCUGUGGAUCAACUAAUUAUAUGGUACAAAGGGACUGUUACGCCAGAUUGUGUCAUAGAACUUUGAAUGACCAAUUUUGUCUCCUAAUCAAUCUCGUUAAAUACUAGGAUUAGGUUGUCUGUUCAUGGAUGUGAAAUCUGCUUUCCUUUAACAACUUAAGUAAUAAAACAAGGAUUUUAAAAUUAUAUUGUUAUCCUCAAGGGUAUAUAAAUCUAAGGGAUAAUGGAGUUACUGAACUAUUUGAAAUAAAUUUCCUUGAGCAGUUAGUGAAGUGUAGUAGAUUCCUUAUGCUUUAUGUUCCAUUAUAAUUUUGUGUUCUAGGGCAUAUGUGAGUAAUAACUGCUUUAGGUUUGACAAUGGCGAUUUUAUGUUUGAGUUGACAACCGCAGUAUAGUUUUAUAAAUGACCAUGAAUGGGCAAUGAUGUGAGCUUUUUGUUGACAAAUUGACUGUAUUUAGGAUAUAUAUAACGUUUCUUUUCUGAUGUUUGUUAGAUCUUGUCACUGAAUGUGUGUAGUUAUGUUUACGAGUUUCCUUUAUUUUUUUCCUACAGAAGAAGGUUUUUUGAUGUUCAUGUGCUGUAUUUGACAGGGAAUAUGAUGCCUAUAAUUUUCAUGGGCUUUACGGUUCCAUAGUCAUGUAUAUUGGCUUCCCAUUUUGGAAGGAAGCUUCAAGGUACAAUUAUGUUUUCUUAUAUUCCUGCUUUCAAGUUUAACUAAUUGAACUUAUAGCCAGGUGCUCUAGGAGGGGGAUUACAAUUAGCUCUACUCAAGUUUUGUAUUCCCAUGUUUCUUCUUUAUUUGCUGUUAUGGUAUUCAUUGCCGUUUCACAUGCUGUUUAUAGUUGACUGCCUAACGAUGUCUUAUUAGAAAUCCAUUCUUCAUGUUGGUUCUAUAAGAUUAUCAAUGGCCCAAGGUUUGCAUUGGCGAGCACGAUAUGGGGUUGAACUUGACUCUGCUCUAAGAUUUGAAGUGACGGUAAGUUCUUUGUGCUUCUUUAAAUUGAGAAGUGUUUUUGUGUAGUCAUCCUUUUAGUUUCAAUUGAGUCUUGAUUUAUUUUUGUCCCUUUUGAUUUCAGAAGAUGAUUAGUUAUUUCUUCUUAUCUUGAACUCUCAUUUCUUAGCUUAGUCUCAAGUUUUGCUUUACUCUCAUCUAUGUCUUGACGUUGGAACAUUCAACUUGAUUAGUCCAUUCCAUUCCUGAAAUGCGCUAGGCGACUGUUUUUUCUUCUUUUGACUUUGACUUUGUGAGGUGCAACCUCAAUGACUUAUCUGAGAUUCGUGGCAUUAUAUGCCUAUCGUCGUAGAAGCUGUUGCUAGGAAAGAUUAUGCUUCUUGACACCAAAGUAAGAGUUUGACCCAAUGCUUUAUUCAUUUUUAUUUACCCCAACCCCGGCACCCCCUCCCACCAUGGCUUUUGCGGUUCUUUCAUCAACUGAAUUUUGUUUGAUUAGGGAGAAGUUCCUUAGAAACCCAUGCCUUUUUAAAAAUAUCCUGAACAGCACCUAUAGGUUGAGCACCCCUUUCAAGGAAAUAUAGAAUAGCAGCAGUGCUUAGUUGAGUUCGAUUCUUUGUCAGAUUGUAAAAAUACACUUUCUGCAAAUCUUUCUUUGAAAUAUUAUCUUCAAAUCACCGAGAGUUAAAUGAGACUAACUAUUCCAUUUUAUCUAAUAUUUGAGAGGAUCAUGCUGGUGAACUUAGUAACUUGUUUUUAGAUGGUUUUACUGCACUGCUAAAUCUUUGUUUUUACAUGCACUUAGAAUAAAAUUUGACAUAGGGAGUGGUUAGCAAUUGUAAAGUCUACUAGCCUUCUUUUCCAGUGUUUCUGUUCUGUCCUUCAUUCAUUUUUUGGAGUAAGAUGCAUGUUGUUCUCUAAAAGUUUAUUUUCUUUACUGAAUACCUUCUUUUUUAAAUAUUUGAACAGAGAUGUGCUACAGAUUCCCUUGGGACACACCUCAUGGGAAGCUUCCCCAACAACACAUUUGUGCUAUUCGCGGAUUUUUGGUUUGUCAUAAAUCCUCUCUUGCAUUUGUUUUCUUCAUGGUUUUUAUUGUUCUUAUGUUAUUUUGUCAAAUACUAUGUUAUUGUGAAGAACUUAAGCCGUUGUUCACAUAUGAUGUGCCAAUUACUCUUUCUGUCUGAAAUCUUGGUAGCAAGUUCACUUUGUUAGUGUUGGUGCAUUUUAAUUGAGGUUAUAGUUUUAUUGGUCCCUUCUCCUCUCUGUAUGAAACCGGAUGUUUUUAUUGGUCCCUACAUUGCGUAUGUAGGGUUUGGAUAGAAUUUCCAUGCAAACACUUGUAUUCUGCAUCUAACGGAACGAGCCAAUACAACCAUCUGGUUGCAGAAACAGUACAUGUGGUGAUUCUAUCCUAUUUCCUCGUUUCCAGCACACUAUAGACAUGAAAAUACAAUUACUUACUUGGCUACCGCAUGCGCUUUUGUCCUGCAUAGUAUGAGUUGUCUGCCCAAUGCUAGAAUUGAUACACUCAGAAGACUAAGUACAAGGACAACUCUGCCCAUAUGUAACAUAUUAGUGGCCAGAUCACAAAUAUAUAUAGAAGAAUGGGAAGUAGUGGCAAACUAACUUCGGAGGUUUUGAUCUGAAUCCCAUUUUUUUUGGGGGAGGGGGGGGGGAGGGGUUUGGGGGUGGGUGGAUUACUGUUAUACUAAAUAGAAGCCUUAGUUAGAUAUAUUUCCAGUUUCAACUUUGAUGAAAAAGAAACUAUUGCUCAGACGUGGUUUGAAUUCAAGUUUAACUAGUAUUUUGUCGUUAGAGGUGGGAUUUGCCUUUCCUCAGGACUCUCUUGGAGGGAAGCAGGGAAGCACAUUGAGUGGAAAAGAUGCGGCUAAAUGGUCUUGAUUGAUUCUUAGAAGAAUCUGGUGAAGGAUAGAAGGGUUCGAGUAGGAAGUAGUGGUUAAAGGACAGCAAAUCAUAAUUCAGCACUAAUUUUCAUAUUUAUUGAGGUAGAAGAUGUUUAGUCGUGCAGUGCAAUAGAGUCUUGUUAAUGAAGAUAGUGAAGUAAAAGGGCUGAAGAAGCAUGGCUUCAGCCCGUCUACAUUGCACACCACAGCAGAAUCUGCAGCUGGGAUUACAUGAAUUAAAAACUGAAUUAGCAUUAAAAUGCUUACUGACCCCGCACAUUAAAAUGCUUGCAGGCCCCACAUCAGGAAAUCUAGUGUGCAGAUUUUGUAGUGAUGAUCAAACUACGCAAGUUCUAGAAUUUAUACCAGCCACCUGAAGUAGUAAUGAUCCUCUCUUAGGACAGCAGUUUUGGGCUAUUCCUUUUUCCAACCUUAUCAGGGUGUUGCUUGGUCUUAAUUAUUACUUUUGCCUGUGAAGAUUCUGCAUUAUCACAUGCCAAGCAGUUUUUACAACAUUAACAAACAUUAAAUAAAAAUGUUAUAGUGAAUUCUGUUGCUGCUUAGUUUGAAGGAUGUCGCUUCUUUUAUAAAGCAUUACUGAUUGGUGAUAACAACUGACAACUUGCAGCUAUGGAAAGCAAGUAAAUCGACACUGUUUGCCCCGGUGGCUUUUGCGAUUCAUGGACAAUGAUUCAAUUUUGAAUGACAGUUAUCAUUUCCUUGAACUUCUGAACACUUGGGUGAUGGUACGUAAAAGUCUCAUGAUGUAUACUAUGUUUAAUCUUGUUUUUUGCAUCAAUCCUGUCCUACUUCGAUUUGCAAAAGUUGCUUAAUGACUAAGUGGUCUCUCGAAUUAAAAAGUUUUGAACAACUGAACUUCAAAUUAGUUAAUUUUUAUUAAUUCUUAUUCUUCCUUAAAGCAGUCAAAUGUGCUCAUGGGUCAUGCCGACCAUUCGCAUACAAUCAUUAUCAUUUAUAUUACCUUAUUGGUGGUCGGAAUUUAGCUAUUACUUGUGUCUUUGAUUACUUAUCCUGCCUUCAAUUUUGCGCACAUUUAUUUGCAGUUCUUUGACUCGUCGUUGGCUAUCGAUCGAGUACAUAACCAUUUAAGAGUAACUAAUGUGAUCUUAUUGUGGAUGCAAGAGAAAAUUAGUUUAAAAUGUUCGCUCAAUUUCAGUUCUGCUUAUUCCCUUUAAGCCCUACAUUCUUGAGUUCAUUUUGAUUAGCACAAUUAAGUGACAACAGAACUUUGAUAAAAAGUUCGGCGUGCAUGAUUAGCUUUCAGUUCGUGGUGGUUAAAUGUAUUGUUGGUUCUGUUUCGUAGACCACUCAUUCGAAUUGUAGACCACUCUUCUUCUAGUGAAAACCUUUAUGCGUUUUGUCCUUUUUCCACCCUAUCCCCGCACCAACCACAAACAAAAGGCCGGUGCCUACGCUAAGGGCUUCAGAUGGAUCUGUUCUCAGAUGAAAUUUUUCUUGGCCAUUUCUAGGACAGUAUGGUGUAGGAUGGAUGAAUAUUGCAUUGGUGCUUCAUCAUGGAAUGUACUUUUAUUAUACAGUUAUUUGAGAGGUUUUAGAAGCCCUCUUUUUCCUUUUAAGUUCAUGUUAUGGUUGGGAUAUGAGGUUUAAAGAGAGUGCUGACGGAUUCAAUUCAAUAUAGUUUUGCCAAAAUCUUCAGUAGGGCAGAUUGCAUGACUCCAGUGUAUGUGAGAAUUACCAAUGGAUGUUCAGUCAUGCUUACUUCCAUACUCACAUUUCCAUGAACUUGUUCUUCGUUUGUAGAGUUUGCAUAAUAUUUAGAAAUCUUUAUUUAUUCAUUGUCAUUGGUUUGUUUACAGCGUUAUUCUUCUCCUAUCCUGACAUUGCUUCAAUUUUGUAGAACAAUGAGCACAGACGGUUGCAGGAUAGUAUUAAUUUGCAAAUUGCUUCUCAUCCAAGACUCCGAUAUGUCAAAUUCUGGGUAGAGGAGGAGGAGGAUUGAUGUGCAAAUACCUUUGUGUUGUGGUAAAUACAGACUUCUGAAACAUGAACUUAGCUCUGCAGUUGAUGUUGGCAAAAGAAAUCGGGGGAUUGAUGUGCAAGUAUCUUUACUGUAUAGCAAAUAUGGACUUCUGAAACAUGAACUUAACUUUGCCGUUAAUGCUGGCAAAAGGUUGAGAAAUGAAUAUGAGAAAAUUUCAUUACAGUACACAUUGGAAGUACCGUUAAUUGUCAAAGUUGCGAUAGUCUCUGCUUAAUCCUGUUUUGCUUCUCUAUUAAAGAAGGGGUAUUAUUUAAUCUUUUCAUCACUUUCAUUCAUUAAGAACAAAAACACCCAUGCCAAUGCUUGAGGCGCUAAUGAAUGAUGAGCCAGUUCAUGAACUUCGCAGAAACAGAACAUUCCCAUGUCGUUUUUCUCUGAUCUAAGUGGUAUACAUUUUCUAAUGAAAGCAAAAGGGACUAACACAGUUACACCACAUGUCAUUCAAGGGGAGUAAGAAAGAUUUCCAAAACCUCAAAUAUGCUAAUGCUAUUAGGGCAAACCACAGGUGAGGUUUGUGAAAUCCUUAAUUAAUACCAUUUGGAUUUUUUAUUUUAAAAAAAAAAUUCAAAUACAAUAUAAUAAUACACAAAUAAAAACAACUCCAAAAAAACUCCAUCCACACAAUAUAUCAAAAACAACUUACAAAUAUAUCAAAAAAAUUAAAUUCUACAACAUCUUCUUCUUCCACCUAUCAUCACCACCCUCUUCCUUUUCCUACCACCCCCACCCUUCCCUUCCCCCUCCCAGAUAUGGCCUCGAUUUGAAAGGGAGGGGAGGGGUGGGGGUGGUUGGGAAAGAGAGGGGACGAGGAAUGAAGGAAGAAGGAAGAUGGGAGGAGGAGGAAGGAGAGGAAGAGGAAAGAGAAGGGGAGGAGGAAGAACGAUGAGGGAAGGGGAAGAGAAAGAGGGUGGUGGCGGUGCUGGGUGGUAGGUUAGUUGUGGGUGGUGGUAUUAAAUUUCAAAAAAUAUCCUAAAAUUUUUUUAAAUAUUAAAAAUAUCCCAGAAUUUGUUCCAAAAAUGCCUCCAAAAACACUACCAAAAAUAUCACAAAAUUUUUCAUAUACAUUGCCAAAAUAAAAUAUUUCAAAAAUGCCGUAAAAACAGCAAAUCCAAAUACACAGAGUUCAAGCCAUAUCUACAUCAUCGUUAUUUUAAAAUCUUUAUUUAAAAAACUCUCAAUUUAUUCAACUUCUCCUUUGCUUUCCUAAUUUAAAAUUUUGUUUGAACUGCUCUUUUCGUGGUAUAUACCAUAUUAAUGCAUAGAUAUAUGUAGUUACCUGCAAUUUCUCAAUUAAUCCUCAUUAGUUCAUAAUAUAAUAGCUUACCAUAUAUGUCCACUAUCGAUCCUAUUAAUUUUGUAUUUUGGUAAUUCAUAUUCUUGUCUUCACAAGGGUGAAGAAAUUAGGCUUUCAUUAAGCUGAAGUGUUUGCAUCUAAAUUGGAUGAAUAUUGAUACUUUACCCUUUUUUCCUACUUUGGAUUUAAUUAUGGCAUGAUAUUUAUUGGGUGUAUAUCUCCUCUCAUUCACCAAAUUUCGGCUCCUACAAUUUGGACAUAAGCAUUGAGUUUUCUUGCAUAUUUUCUGCUUGACAUGUUCAAAUUUUUAGCUACACACUUACCUCUAUAGCAUAACGUGCAAGUAUGAUAUUCUUUUUUUUUCUCUCUCACAAGCACUUGGACCACAUUUUUCUUCCUCUUGAAAUGAUCCUUGCUAAUUCUCAGUUCUUUUUAAUUUUGCUCACUUUUCCAAUUAAUUCUUAUAAUCUUUUUGUUGCUUUUCUUCGAUUUCCUUCACCAUCUUAAAAGCAGGAUGAAUCAAUAAAAGAAAUGUUCUUUUCCAACGUCAACUUUGGAUGUAAUAAUUUUUGAUAUUUUUUUUUGUCAACGUGUUAUGUAUUGGUGGUGCAUCCGUUUCAGUCUUCUUUGCAUAUAUUUUUAGUCGUAAAUCGAGUUUUUUUAACUACUUAAAUCAGGUUUAUCAGUAAUCCAUUUAUUAAGACUUUUUAAUUGCGCCGUCUGUAGGAACGAAGGCAUCUCAGAAUGAAGCCCACGCGUUCUAGGAGUAGGAAGGUUCUCACAAUUGGGGCUCAGCCGAGCCCUUCCUUCCAGGAAGAAGAUAUGGCUGAGGGACAGGGGUCCCCAGAGCCCCAGCCUGCAAACGGAGAAGCCAUGACCAAGAUGGCCGAGUUUGUGGCAGAAAACCCCAACGUCUUUGAGGAGUUAGGGAGGUAUUUUAAGAGACAAGACAAACAAAAGAUCGAGUCCUUCAAAAGGAAAUCAGACGAGUCUCCCGAGCCUCUAUCUGAUGAGGAAUCUGAUGGAAGACACUUGGCCAGGAGCACUCCGAAGCGAGCCAUGUUUAAGGCUACUUCCAAAAUUGCUUCUUUAUCCAAGGCUUUUUCGCGAGGUUUGUUGGGAAGGAGAGCUGACGAAGAACCUCGGCUCCUGGGAAGGUCCGGAAUAGAUUACAUGAGAGCUCCGCCCUUCACAGACGAGAUCAACGAAGAGAGGUUUCCAUCAAAUUUCAAACUCCCCACGAUAGCAUCCUACGAUUGCCGAGGUGAUCCGGAAGACUAUAUUCAUGCGUUCAUCUCGGCAUUCCGAUUAUACUGUAUCCCUGACCCUGUUAUCUGUCGGACUUUCCCAGUGUUUUUGCAAGGAACAGCUCGAAAAUGGUUUGAGGCCUAGAGCCUAGGAGCAUAUCCAUCUUGGGGGAACUGGUGGAAAAAUUCCUUUAUCGUUUUGUAUCCUCUAGACCUACGACUAAGACCUCGGCGUAUCUGUUGAAUAUACAGCAGAACCCGGGCGAGUCACUUAGGUCUUAUGUGCAGAGAUUUCAAAACGAGAGCGUGCAGAUACCCGACCCCAACGAGCAGGUAACGAUAGCUACCUUUACUAACGGGUUUGUGCUCGAAACGUUCCACACCGCGAUACAUAAGAAGUAUCCUCGCACACUCCAAGAUCCCUGGUUGAAGGUCGAAAAAGGCAUACAAGCCGAAGACCUCGAUCGUAUGAAGAAGGAGGCCCAAGCAGUCCGGCCAAGAUCUGAUCCCAGGCGGAGGGAGUCAAAUCGGAGUGAGGUCGGAAACAGCAGUGGUUUCCAUAGCCCCGGCCGAGACCGCCGGAGCGUUUUCGACAGAAUAGCCAAGGGGAAGCAGCCGGUCUCGGAAGCCGAGUUAACUUCCCUGAACACCAACCGAUCCCGUGUGCUAUCUGUGAUGGACCAAAACGGACUUGGGUGAGCCCUUCCCAAGAUGAACGGAAAAAAAAGAGGAGAAACCCUAACCUGUACUGCCUAUACCACCGAGAUGUCGGGCAUGAGACAGAGGACUGCAAUGACCUCAAGAAGGAGAUAAAACGUCUCAUUAAGCAGGGUUACCUCAAACAAUUCGUCCGACGAGAUGCGAGUUACAAUAAGAGCGAAUCUCUUCUGGAAAGUUGCGGCGACCAACGCCGAAAUGAUAGGCGAGGUGGAAGAAGUAGUUGCCGACCCCCGGAGGAUCCCAAGGAUGCUAGGAGACCCCCCCGAGAUGGGUCCCCCAGUUAUGGGCCAAUUAUGGCACAGGUCAUGAGUCCGGAUAUGGGUCCAACAUCGCUAGAGUUAUUAACAUCAUAGCCGGUGGUCCGACGGGAGGGGACAGUCAAAACUCCCGGAAGAGAACCUACAAACAGGCCAACCCGGACAUAACUGAGCCGAGUUCUCGGCUAUCUGAAAUGAUCACGUAUGGCCCAAGUGAUCCUGUUCCGGCCGCGUCCAGCAGCCAUGAGGCCUUGGUGAUCGAGGUACUCACCAACAGUUACAUCAUCAAAAAAGUGUACGUGGAUCCAGGAAACUCAGUAGAUGUCAUGUACUAUCGGACGUUCGAAAAUCUGAAACUGACAAGAGAGCAGCUCAGCCCAGUCAGGACACCUCUUGUGGGCUUUGGGAGACACGUUGUCCAUCCCGAGGGAAUGGUCACGCUAACGGUGACUGUUGGCCAUCAACCUCGGUACCGAACCAUCCCAGUUAAUUUCGUGGUGGCCAGGGCCGAUUCCCCCUACAAUCUGCUUAUGGGUCGGCCCACCUUGAACGCUUUGCGAGUUGUAUACUCAACGUAAUACUUAAGUUUCAAGUUUCCAACCCUCGCGGGAAUCACUGAGAUGAGCAGCAAUGUUUGUGCCGCACGAGAGUGUUACCUUGCAACCUUGCAGGCUGCGUCUUCGUCGACGUCCGAGCCAUGGACCGAAAGCAGGAGGUCUAGCAUUAUGUCGAUAGACUGCAUCGAUCAUCACAAAUCUGUGAAGUCUUAAAGGCUGGAUAAUGGAGACGAGGUCGAAGAUAUUAUAUUGACUCUUACUAACCACGAUCAAACCGUCCGUAUCGGCACAAACUUGCCCGAGCCGGUCAAAGGCGGGUUGAUCGAACUCCUUAGGGAGUACCAGGACGUCUUUGCCUAGAUCGCCGAGCAAGUGGUCGGGGUUCCUCCCCAACUUAUGUUGCACGAGUUGAACGUUGACCCUAGAGCUCGGCCAGUAAGACAGAAGAGAAAACACUUCGAUCCGGAACGCAGCAAAGCUGUAACGGAAGAGGUGGAUAAGCUCAUGCCAGCACAGAUGAUCAAGGAAGUCUAAUAUCCCACUUGGUUGUCCAAUCCAGUAAUGGUCGAGAAGGACACCGGGGGAUGGAAGAUGUGUGUGGACUUCACCGAUCUGAAUAAAGCUUGUCCGAAAGACUGUUACCCGGCCUAGGAUCGAUACACUGGUCGACUUGGCGAUGGGAUAUGAUGUUCUCUGCUACUUGGAUGCCUUCAAAGGCUAUCAUCAAAUAGGCAUGAGUGAGGAGAACCAAGAAAAAUAGCUUUCUUCACAGAUCAGAGGGUCUACUGUUACACGACAAUGCCCUUCGGGUUGAAGAACGCCGAGGCCACUUAUCAACGGCUUAUCAACCGAGUCUUCAAAACUCAGAUAGGUCGGAAUGUCGAGGCGUACGUUGACGACGUGCUCCUCAAGAGCAAGGAGACCUUGGCAUUCCUGUCUGAUGUGAAGGAGGUCCUCGAGGUCCUCCGAAGCACUCGGAUGAUGUUGAAUUUCAAGAAGUGCGUAUUCGGUGUGACCUCGGACAAAUUCUUGGGGUACCUAGUGUCUCGGCGCGGUAUAGAGGUGAACCCUGACAAGGUGAAGGUCAUUCAAGAAACGUCUUCACCGCAGACCCUUCGCGAAGUGUAAAUUUUGACCAGACGUUUGGUCGCCUUGAAUCGAUUCUUGUCGCAGUCCGCGGCCAAGGCAUUGCCCUUUGUCAAGAUACUCAAGAAAGCUGAUAAGUUUACUUGGACUACAGAAUGCCAGCAGGCUUUCAAAGAGGUGAAAGAACGUCACCUCGUCCUGGGGAGAUCUUAUACCUUUACUUUUCGGUCGAGGACGAGACUGUCAGCGUCGUUCUAAUUCGGGACGAUGGGAUUCAGGUACCCAUUUAUUACGUUAGUCGAGUUCUCCGUGGUUCUGAGACCCGGUACACCCGAGCAGAAAAAUUCGUGUUGGGGUUAGUCCACGCGGCCCGCAAACUAAAGCCUUACUACCUAGCUCACCCUGUAAGUCGGCGGACUGAUCAGCCAGUUAGGCAGAUUCUGUCACGCCCCGAGGCGUCCGGACAGCUCACUAAGUGGACUAUUGAACUAGGAAAGUACGACAUAGCCUAUAAGCCUCGGAUUGCUAUCAAGGCCCAGGCGUUGGCGGACUUCUUGACCGAGUUCACCUUUCCUGUGAGCCAAGACGCCAUUGUGACUGAAGUCGGGUUCCAAAGGUAGACCUUAUAUGUGGAUGGAUCCUCCACUAGUGAUGGUAGUGGAGCUGGUCUGCUUCUCGAAGACCCUCACAGAGAGACAUGCUCUUACGCACUUCGGUUCGAUUUUGCCGCAUCAAACAAUGAAUCUAAGUAUGAAGCGCUCAUCGCGGGAUUGCAGUUGGCCCGAAAACUUGGUGCCAACCAAAUCUCAGUUUAUAAUGACUCCCAACUCAUAGUAUGCCAGGUACUGGGAGAGUAUGAAGCUAGAGAAGAAAAUAUGCAGCGGUACCUUUCUAAAGUUCAGCAGCUGGCAGCCUAUUUCGGGUCGUUCGACAUUCAAAGGAUACCCCGGUCAAAGAAUAGGCGAGCUGAUGCCUUAUCAAAACUCGCCUCCACUCUCAAUAAGACGAUUCACGUGAAGGUUCUGUCUGAACCGGGGUACCUCGAGGAGAAGGUCUACCCAGUGAUCUCGAAAAAUACCUGGAUGAGUCCUUUCAUUAGCUUUUUGGAACGAGAAAUUCUUCCAGACGAUAAGGCUGAGGUGAAGAAAAUUCAACGUAAAGCGGCUAGAUACGCACUCCGAUGUGGCAACCUGUACAAACGUUCUUACCUCGCCCCGUGGCUACGGUGUAUCACAGUUGAAGAGGGUAAAAACAUCCUCUGGGAAAUCCAUGAAGGACUUUGCGGGGAGCAUGUCGGCCAACGAAUGUUGGCCAAGAAGGCCUUAUUACUUGGCUAUUUUUGGCCAACCAUUUGGCAAGAUGCCCAGGCAUUAGUCCUGAACUGCCCCUCAUGUCAGCACUACGCUCCCAAACAUCAUCAGCCAAACAACUUCAUGGUCCCCAUCACGUCGUCGUGGCCUUUCGAACAGUGGGGGACAUAUAUUAUUGGACCCUUUCCAAGGGCUCCAGGUGGCUACACUUAUGUCGUAGUAGCGGUGGACUAUUUUACGAAGUGGGUUGAAGCCGAGGCUUUAAUAAGCAUCACGGGCCAAGCUAUCCAGAAGUUCUUCUGGAAGCACGUAGUCUGUCGCUUCGAGUUACCUCGGAUCGUCAUCUCCGAUAAUGGGAAACAAUUUGCAGAUAAUCUCUUCAAAGCGUGGUGCGAGGAACUUAGAAUUAAACAGUAUUUCACUUCGGUUGGACAUCCUCAAGCCAACGGACAAGCCGAGAAGUUCAACCGAACACUUUUACACGGUCUCAAGAUAAGGUUAGACCAGCUCGGAACCUCCUGCCUAGACGAGCUCCCUAGUGUACUCUGGUCUUAUCGAACCACACCUAGAACGGCCACUCAGGAGACCCCGUUCUCGUUAACAUAUGGGUCCGAAGCAGUGGUCCCUGCCAAAUUCCUUAUCUCGAGCCCUAGAAUUGCGGCCUUCGCCGCCAAGGCUAAUGAAGAAGAAUGAAGGACUGACCUCGACCUUUCUGAGGAAAAAAGAGAUGUUGCGGCAACCCGGAUGGCCUUGUACAAGAAUAUCCUAACUAGCUAUUAUAAUUCCCGUGUGAAAAAUCUUCGAUUCAGCCCGGAUGACCUCGUUCUCCGAAAGAACUCGGUCAGCCGAGUUGAGCCCUAGGGCAAGCUAUCUCCGAACUGGGAGGGGCCGUACCGCGUGGUCGAAGUUAGCCAAAAUGAAUAUUGUAAGUUGGCCUACCGAGGUGGUGCCUUAGUACCUAGGACCUGGCAUGCCCAGAAUCUCAAAUUGUAUUUUCCAUGAUACUUGCGUCUUAUUUGAAGUUACUUACGCCUAUUCUGCGUACUUAGUUAUUUUCUUAGCACUAUCACAUGGUGUUGUUAAAGAAAAUAAUGGGACAAACAAGUCAAACAAGUAGUAAGCGAAUAAAGAAGCAAGAUAUUAGAAGCCGAAAGCAAUAGAAAAUGGGAAUUUAUAUUAAUAUUAAGGAUGGGUACAAAAGUUGCAAGUACAAAAGGCCGAGGCUUAGAGCCUUGCUAAGGGUCUCUUGCCUCGGCAGAAUCCUGGCCCGUAGCAUUCCCCGGCUCCUCCCAUGGCUGCUCCACCGUCUUCUUCGCCGCCCUCGGGUCCGGGGUCAAACUCCGCCAUCUCGCGGUUGAACUCUUCCCGCACUUCGGCCAGGUUCCUUCGGCCAUGCGAUCGCAGAGCACUUGAGUGUCCUCAUUGUAACUCGCCUUAUCUUUGAACAAGUCCACUUGUUCUGCAGUGAGGAAGGGAGCGACCUCUUUGAUGGCUGUGGUGUAGCCGAACAUAUAGUUGGGUAGGGUGAGUUGACCGAGGUCAUGGGUAAAAGCCUCGGAGGAACGGAAGGCUUCCACUGCCGAACUUCCCGCCUUGUCGAUUACAGCCGGAGAUGACUGCUCCUCCUGAAGUCGCCUCUUCUUCUCAUCUUCUAAAGCGGACUUCAGAGAGUUAACAGUGGCCUCGGACUGUUCCAUCUCGGCCAAGCGCUCCUUGCGGAGCUGUGUCUUCUCCUUCUUAGCCAGCUUCCUCUCCUCCUCGGUCGACUUCAGUUUCAGCUCCAGGGCGUAAAUCCUGUCCUGUAGCUCAGCAAGGGCCUGAUUCUCGAGCAUAUUAGUGUAACGCUGCAUCAACUAAGACAGGAAGGCCGAGGUCGAAACCCACGCUACCGAGGUGCUUUGCAUCAACUCGGUGGGGGUUAACUUUUUUGGCGUAAGAGUUAUUCCUUGGCAAGCUAGAGUGGACUAGCAGGUGUUAGACGACGCUGGGAUCCAGGCAUCGAUCAUUGACGCUGACGUCCCACUCUGGGCACCAAUGCCAGCCGGAAUGCCUCUUGUCGUCCCCGGCCUCCUGAAGCUGGAUGAAAUACCGGUUCCAUAGGAAUGAUCCCAUAAUCGGCAUCUCGGGAGCAGGCACUUGAACCUGCUUGCCCCGACCUGUAGGGAGACGAGCCGCGAUAGUUACACCCCGGACAGGCACUCUUUUUGGAAUCGUAGAACCCUGGGAGCCCUCUGGAAUGACUAUGGGGGGAGGACGAGAUGGGGUGGCCGUUUUCUUCUUCUGGGCGGCCGAGGUUUCCCCAGCAGCUUUCCUCUUUUGCUGCUUCUUCGCGACUUCGGCAGUGCCCGCGGUGAUCAGGUCAGAUACUCUCACCACUGCAUAAGAUGAAAAUAUUACUAUUUAGAAUCAAAGUAAGAAGAAAUACAAAGAUAUGAGGCGAGAAGUACGAUAUUUUUGAAGUCUAGUAGAGAAGUAAGGGGGAUGAUCCGGGCUGAUCAGAGCUCGGCUGAUCCCGCCUUCAACCAGGAUCACUUCAGGUAGGCCCAGCAGUUGAUCUUGAGACCCGACCCGAGGAGUUUUCAAAAAUUCUCCUUUUCAUGGCGACCUGGAGAAGGAUCCUUAGCUGAAGUGGGCGGUCUCCACCAAAAUCCCCUCGGAAAGUCAUUAGCGGGAACAAAAAUGAAGUUAUGCUUCCAUUCUUUUAUGGAACAAGGAGCGUCUACCACUAGAUUCGGCACGUGCUUGUUUCGGUUGCCGAAAUAAAACCAACCUUUUUUAUCGCUGUUCUUGAUCGUGUAAUAGCGGCGGAAGAGAGUCACUGUGGGGGCUAUCCCCUGGUCUCGAUAGAGUGGUUCGAACCCAAUGAGGAUCCGAACUGUAUUUAGGGUUAACUGAGUGACCCGAACGCCCCAGUACCUUAGGAUAUCCCGAAAAAACCUCGUCGUGGGCAUCCUUAGCCCGGCUUCCAGCUGAUCAACAUAGACAGCUACUCUCUUUUGGGGGCUGCUCGGCUGUUUGGUGCCCCCGAGGUGGAUAAAUGUUGUAACGAGGGUGGAAGGGAUAUCGGCGUAUCACCUCGUUAGUCUCUUGGAGAGUGACCACGCUGUGGUUCUGAGGAAGUUGGCUGAAAUCUACUGUUGACAGGUCCGGAGGUGCGGCCGGCUCCAGCACCCCUUCGUCCCUUGGUACCUCGACCCCGAGGGCGUCAUCAUACACCAUCUCGAAGUCCGCCUUGCUCGGAUCUUGGGAUGGCGCAUCCCCGCCGAUUUCCUCGGCUGCCUCCUCCGGGUUAGAAGACGAGUUCUCCUCUUCUCCGGCCGGGUCAGGCCUCUCUGCUGCGUUGAAGUCUGGCCUCACUGUCUCUUUAUGCGCCCUAGCUACCCUAGCCAUAUUGAUAAGGGAAAGGAUGAAGUGAACUUACUGGUCAAGAAAUGAUGAAAUCUGUAGAGACUAUCGAUCCGGAGAAUUCACGCUCACUUCGGAUAUCUACUCUAGUGCUGUUUUAUGGUAUCCUUGGAAUGUUUGCGGUAAAAUGUAAAUGUUGAUAGGAACCUCCUAUUUAUACCGAAGAAGAGGGAAGACGAAAAGAUGGGAGCGGUUAGGUUUUCCAGGCUGACAACCUCUCUCCUCAUUUAUGUCUACCAAUCCUUUGGUCUUCCCUCACGCGUCCUUUCAUGUUGUUAUUUAAAACUGACACCCAUCCUGUCACCAUUUCACAUCUCACUCUAAAUCUAUCCUGACACAGUGGUGACCCCCUGUAUCCGAACGGAAGCCCCGGGAAAUACCGCCCAUUUAGCCUUUCCCGAGGCUCAGGGAGCUUAGUGAGGAGGGCCGUUUCGGUUCGUCGUAAAUACGCACACCUCAAUUUGACUACUGUUGAAGACCGCUGAAGGGACCGAACUUCUAGACGUGUUGGACCCCGGAUGAGCUCACCUCGGCAGGAUUUCCACCAAGGGCCGGGGUCAUGGAUAUGUCCUUGACCAUGCUCCCCUGUUAGAUGAUGGGAUGGUCAGGUUCAGGUACAGUCUGACGCCUGCCAGGGUUCGGAGCGAUUGAUGGGACCUACUGCCGCCGCCAAUCUGUCAAGUAAAGCUGACAGUCUGGGCGUGACAGUUCCUAGGGAAUGGGACCCUCUCAAUCCUCUUUCCCUCUCAUGUAAAUACUUCUAAGAUCCCUCAGAAAAGGGUAAGACUCUUUUAUCUUACGAAAUAACUUUACUUUGACCUCCAAAAAUAACUAAUUAGAGUGUCGGAGGAGAAUUAGGGGAUCUAGCCCUGCAUUUUUUGCAGCUUAAGCAUGUGACUUUUGAGGAGUUACAUUUCUCACCCGUGGACACUCCAGCCGGUGAGGUAACACCCGAGCAGCCAAAAAUCACCUCUUCACUACUCAAACCCAAACCUAAACCCACCCCCAACCCCUUUACCCACUUUUUCGAUACGAAUCCAAAACUCUAGGCAAUAAUGGAUUUUCUUUUAAUAAAAUAAAGGUCACAAGCCAUCUGGAUAAGGAAAUUUGGAUGGAUGCAUUGAAAAGUUGGAUUCCAGAUUUCCAUCUAGAAUCUCUACUGUGACACCCGGAUGAGUUGUGGUGAAGAUGUUCCUGAUAUAGCCAGCAAUUUCCCAUGAACUGCACCAAUUCCCAUCCCCGUUUUGAAGCGAAGCUAUGUGAUUUCUUUUCCCUCCUAGUUGCUACAUUGGCAUGAAAGAAGGCACUGUUUUCGUGCUUUCGGCUCCAGUUAUGCAAUGGAGUCUCACCGUCUACUCCUCCAUGCCUCAACUAUUUUUAGGGGCUAACGAGACGCUUUUAGUACCAUGGUCCCAUAUUUAACAAAUAAUAGACAGAGAUGUGAACUCUAGUACUGAACCACACAACAACACCACCACCAACCCCUCCCCCCCCCAACCCCCACAAAAAAAAACACACAAACAAACAACACCCCACCCCACAGAGCAGACAAUUAUGGGGUACGCAAGCAGGUUUCAAAAAGUCUAUCGUAUCAGCAUAACAGCUCUCAUCAUCCACCAAAGUUACACAAAUCCAGUUGCAAGUACCAUGAAAUUUAAACCAAGUGAUAGAAAAAGCAUCAGAUGAUAAUCUUUCAUUACGCACAAAAACAGUUCAAAACUAGUCAAUCCACAAUACUGUCCCGAUAACAAAAGUUCAAAAUUAAAUAUAUCCACGUUACCACCCCCAUCACCAAAGUUCAAACAAAGAAAGUUAAUUGUCAUUGUAAUAGAAAGCAGUCCCGCAGACAGACAGACAGACAGCUUAAAUUCACUCCUUAGACAUUGUUAGAUGCUUCACAAGCUGGAUCAAUAGUGUCUCCCUGGAGGUGGCACAUCCUCAUAUGACUCCAUAUUCAAACGAGGAACAUCAAGCAUAAUUCAAAAUGUAUCAUGGAAAAGAAACAAUAAGCAGCUAGCAGCUAGCAGCAGCUAGCAGCUAGCAGCAGCUAGCAGCAGCAUGCAGUUAGACACAGCAUAGAAUGAUUUACCUAACUGGGUCAUUUGCUCCAAUAGAAUGAGCACUUGAAACAUUAGAGACCAUUACAAAUUACCACUUACACAUGGUCCAUAUCACAAAAUAUUACACAUCAUGUUCACAUAACCUAGAAAAAAAAUACCCAAAAAAAGAAAGCAGUAUAAACUCCAUAUGGUGGUCAAUCCAAGUUAAUGGACACAGGCAUGCAACCGACUUGAAAUGCUUUACCAAAUUCACCUCAGCUUUUGCCAAUAAAAUACCAAUGCACUACCAGAUCAUAUAAACGUAAUGCAACAAAUCAAGUAAAAAGUCAAUUGCAGAUACAUUUAUCCAAAAAGUAAAAAAGUAUUCUUUCCUCAACAUUCUGACAGCUAUUUAUGGUAGUAGCCAAAUGAAUACAAGAUAGAUUGAUAAUUCCAUUCACCAUACCAUGUAACCAAUGACCUUAUCAGAAAAGUUCAAACCUGCAUCUCUAUUUUUCAGCCUUCAUACUAAAUGCUUCGGAAAGAAAGUUUGGAAAAAGAAUCAAAGGGGGAAGAGAAAUGCAAGAAAAGGUUAACCAAACAGGGAAACUUCAGAGGAGUUUGAGGCCAGCUGUGUUGAAACAAAAGGUAAUCAUAUUCUGAGGCAACUUCUGAGGCAGCUUCCAAAUUAUGGGAUAUUUAGCAUAAAUAUACUAGAAACUCUUUAAGGACAAUCCGAAAAAUAAAUAGUAAAUAAAUAAAAGGACAAUUUCCAGAGCAGGGCAAGAGCCUACAGGAUAGAAACUCUACUGAGUAAACCUUAAAUUUGUAGAAUUUCUAUGGAAUAAAGGUAAAUUUCAGUAAUGGAUUGCAACAUUCAAUGACAAUCAGGAGCAGAAGCAGGAUUCUUGGAUGACAUUCAUUUGCACUAGAGGUGGCAAUUUGUCCCAAAUCCCAUUGGGCUACCUAUGCCCAAAGGAAUUUUGGGCGGAAUGGAUAUUACAAUUUGAUAUUGGGUCUAACAUGGAACACAUCCCAAUUGUACCUAUUAAUUGAUGGAAAAUGCUGAAAAAUAAUUGGGUACCCGUUGGGCCCAAAUAUCUUCCCAAAAACGUGCAUUGAUCAGAGUAUUGAAACCCCAGGCUCCGCCCGAGUGAAAAUCUCGAUGGCCAGCGCUUCCUGGUUGGCCUUACCAAGCACGCCGAGCACGGUGGCAAGCAUGCAGGGAUUAGGGGAGUACCAAUGGCGAAGAUUCACCCAUUCGUAGACCUCGGCCAACUGGUCUGCCGGACCCAUUUGACCACAAAACAGAAAUCUGUAGGAGUCAUCUGAACCAUUUUCUCAUCAAGCACGUCAAACUCCGCUGUAUGUUCAUCUGAAGAAAUCCUUGGAAAGUUUCAAAAUGGACUUUUGCCAAGCAAUGUUGAAGCAUUGCUAUGUUCUCGGGACUGGAUUUAUGGUGGUGAAGGUAAAUAUUGAUUUGAAAUUUUAAAUGUCAAAUAUGUUUAUUUUCUUUUCUAUUAAUUUUGGUUCUUUUUAAAUAAUGGCAGGCUAUGAUGCUUCUAAGGUAGAAGAGGAUGCAGAAAUGAGUGUUGAUGUUCAAAGAUUGGUGGCUAAACUUGGUAGUGAAGUAUAAGGUACAACAUGAUAGUUUGUAAUCUCAGAAGUUUAUAUUGCAUGUUCUGAUCCUCUUUUAGUUUUGCAUUGCGCAUCAGUUUUUUCAACUAAAUCAUGACAGUUUGCUUUGUGUUUACCUCUUAUUGAGAGACUUUUUUUAGCUGUAAGCAUCCAUAAUCUCUGGAGACAAGAUGUCUGGGGUCAUCUCUGGAGCUGUGCUUUGGUUUUAAGCAUUAAAUAAUGCUUAUGUUCUGCUUUCUAGUAAGUGAGCUUAGCAAAUUUACUACAUUGAUAAGAUCCAUAGAAACUGUAUGUGGUACAUGUUACCAAAUUCACUUGUAUUAUUCAUAAUACCAAUGGUCAUUUUUACCAAUCCAGCUGAGUUCCUUGUCUUUCCCUUUCUCGAAUUUGUUGCAUGUUUCUUGGCUUAUCUCCAUGUAAACCUGUGAUUAUCUUUAGCAGUCUUCCGGUGGGUGUACUGAAUUAUGCUGUCAUAAGUCAAUGUUAAUCAAGUAAAAUGAGAUUGGAUUUUCUGGUAUUUGGUUCUGAUCUGACUGUCAGAUCAAAUUAUUUCUCUCUCUCUACACAACAUGAGUUUUGGAUAACCUGAAAGUUAAUCUUGUAUCUGUCAAACUGUUAGCAUGUUUACUGGCUCUUAUGGACGCAUGUGCACCUCUUCCUGGUGACUUUUCCACUUCCCUUGCAUGCCAUAGUAACCCUUGAUAUUUUACAUGCAGGAUUUGUGUGCAUUCUGCACGGAUUUCAUUGUGUCUGAAUUAUGGAUUCAAACCUCUUGGCAUAUCAGGUUUAAGAUUUCUGGUCAUGAUCUCUAUCUUUUCAUCAUCAACAUGUGCUUAUUUGAUACUAUUAACUUGAACUUCUCAACUAGGUGUUUGUAGAGAGCCAAGAUUAUGGUAUAUAUGGAGAACGAGUUAGGAACGCCUGUUGGGGUUACCUAUGUCAAAGUAGUGCCAAAGGACUUAAGGAGGUGACAACUACAAAUGCCUGUAACACCGUGACAUAUGAUGUGAACUUUUUUUCUUGAACUACCUUUUGAACAUGCAACUUAAUUCCUUAACUGAUGUAUAUUAUUGGAUUGUUGAACUAUCUACGUAGAUUUCUAUAUGCAAUCCUGUUAUCAAUUUAAAAAAAAAUAAAAAAUGAAUUAAAGAAAAAAAAUAUGUAGAAAAUAGAUUUGAAUAUUGGACGGGAUCAAUCUAAACCCAUCCUAAAGUGAUCCCGCCCAAGUUAGUCGCAAAGCACAUAUGGGUAAAGUUGGAUCCAAACCUAUAUGACUCCUAAAGUGAUCCCGCCCAAGUUAGUCCCAAAGCACAUAUGGGUAAAGUUGGAUCCAAACCUAUAUGACUCGGUUCCAUUUCAUAUCCAAGCAAAUCCCACCCAUUUUGCCACCUCUAAUUUGCACCAAAAAGUAUCGAGGCAGAAUAGAACAUUAAAAAGAGCUCAAAAGAAGUUUUGAAAAACUAUCAAUAAUAGAGCCAAAGCUCUUAUCAGAUGUUUCAACCAUGCCAUUGGACAGUUAGGACUACAUAACAAAGCAUCUAAGAAAAGUACCAAUUGGUAAUUUCAUGAAAAAGGGAGAGAGAAUAAAGCAAGCCAGAAUACUGGAGGCUGAAAAUCUACAAGUCCACUCCCCUUUUUACUCAUUACCAAAAAAUGGGGAUAUGUGGGAAGUUGAGGAUGCAGUACCACAGUAAGAUACUCAAAACAUGGCUUAUGAUACUCCAGCAGAUUGCUCCAGAGCUUCUUGACCAGUCUCCCCUGAUUGUCAUGGAAGUACUCAGCAGGCAAAUAGGAAGAACGGUAGUAUAGGGGCCUAAUUAGCUGAUCUUAUCCAGAAGCUUGAGAUAGGUAGUCAAAUCAACUUUAUCAAUGCUAAUAUUCUAGUCCACAUGUAGUCAAGGCAGGAAAACUAUGGGUCAUGCAACCCACAUAUAAGGUAGGCACCCAUUCUUAAAGUAGUAGUGACAAAAAAAAAGUAAAAUGCAAGAGGAAAUUGUGACCUACUUAUUAGAUUUCACUAAACAGCAAAUUGCAAGAGAAAAAAAGCAGUGAUGAUUAAACUUCGACACUUUUUUAGCCAACUGGCAGUUGGGGGAAAAAAAAUUAUCACUCACUGGAUGAAAGGAGGAAAACAUAGACACAUGAAACUCCACUGGAUGAAAAGAGGAAAACAUAGACACAUGAAAUACUAUCAGCAGAAGAUGGGGAAAAAGCAGUUCAGUUGGGUAUAAUCCAGUAUGCAAAUCUUGGAUAUGCUCCAUGGGGCUCCUACACACAAGGAUUAGGGUUCUGAAGAGGUCUAAUUGCAGCUCUUUUCUCUAAGUAGAAUAAAGCUAGGUUAAUGCACAUAGUUAGGUUAAUGUAUAAGGAAUCAAUAUGUCACUGGCCAGUAGCAAUCAACAUGUUACUUACAUGAUGAAGCUGGUUUUACCAUACAUCUAAUGCACAGAUAGUGGGAAUACCUUCGGCAAUCACAACUUCUUAUUACAAAAUCCAGGCACAAUUAGGAUAAACCGGAGUGUGCAGGAAAUAAAACUCCAUGACUCAAGUGAACAAACAAGAGAGAGUGUACCAAAAGGCAUCUCGUAGAAUAGACACUUUGAUAGGCCAACUUACUUCUAAAUGCUUAUGGAGUAGAGGAAUCCAACCCAAAAAACACACAGCAUUACAAUGACAAUAAUUUCAAUUACGACGGCAGAUCCUAAACAUAAUAAGGAAAUAAAAACCAAGGUUCAAACUGAAGCAAAGCAAAUAAACCUGCAAGUAGCAAUAAAUAAUCUUUUUUUAUUCAAAGAAGGGAAACAAAGUAGACUAGUCAAAUGUGGUGCAAUAAAAUAGUCCCAAUUGGCAAGGCAUUCCAGAGAUGAAAAAUUGGGAUGAGAGGUUUCAUUGAAUCUGCAUUCCAUAUUAUUAGUGGUACAAUCAGUAACAGUGAAAACCCCUUCUCUAUGCUCCCAAUCCCACCAGUAUAGUUAGAGCAGCACAUAAUGAAUUAAGGAUAUGAACACAAAAAUGAGAUCGGAACAUUAUGACAGAAUGGAGUUCAAGACGUAGGGGAACUUUAUGAUCAACAGACGGUUUAAAAGUCAAAGA